UGGGGAAUAUUGGACAAUGGGCGAAAGCCUGAUCCAGCAACGCCGCGUGCGGGACGAAGGCCCUCGGGUCGUAAACCGCUGUCAGGAGGGAGGAACGGUGCGUGGUUAAGAGCUGCGUACUUUGACAGUACCUCCAGAGGAAGUCCCGGCUAACUCCGUGCCAGCAGCCGCGGUAAUACGUAGGGUGCAAGCGUUGUCCGGAAUUAUUGGGCGUAAAGAGCUCGUAGGCGGUCCGUUGCGUCUGCCGUGAAAACCCGGAGCUCAACUCCGGGCCUGCGGUGGAUACGGGCGGACUAGAGUCCGGUAGGGGAGACUGGAAUUCCUGGUGUAGCGGUGGAAUGCGCAGAUAUCAGGAGGAACACCGGUGGCGAAGGCGGGUCUCUGGGCCGGAACUGACGCUGAGGAGCGAAAGCGUGGGGAGCG
rnacentral:rRNA from 1 species